rnacentral:rRNA from 1 species
AGUGAACGCUGGCGGUAGGCCUAACACAUGCAAGUCGAACGGCAGCGCAGUAAGAGCUUGCUCUUACGGGUGGCGAGUGGCGGACGGGUGAGGAAUACAUCGGAAUCUACUUUUUCGUGGGGGAUAACGUAGGGAAACUUACGCUAAUACCGCAUACGACCUACGGGUGAAAGCAGGGGAUCUUCGGACCUUGCGCGAUUGAAUGCGCCGAUGUCGGAUUAGCUAGUUGGCGGGGUAAAGGCCCACCAAGGCGACGAUCCGUAGCUGGUCUGAGAGGAUGAUCAGCGACACUGGAACUGAGACACGGUCCAGACUCCUACGGGAGGCAGCAGUGGGGAAUAUUGGACAAUGGGCGCAAGCCUGAUCCAGCCAUACCGCGUGGGUGAAGAAGGCCUUCGGGUUGUAAAGCCCUUUUGUUGGGAAAGAAAAGCAGCAGGUUAAUACCCCGCUGUUCUGACGGUACCCAAAGAAUAAGCACCGGCUAACUUCGUG